GUAUCCAGAAAAUCAAAGAUUUUCAGAAGUAUGUCUCAAUGGGUUCCAGACACACCUACAAGACCACCUCUGGGAAUGCCUGUCUGCACUUAGCAUCAGGCACGAGGGCUAAUCGUAAGGUGACUGCCCUUUGAUGGAAGCUGGUAUGUGUUGCUACUGUUCUAUGCAGAAACAUCCAUUAUGUCACACAGGCAAGUCUUCUAUGGAUGCCCUGGAGUCUGUGUCCACCACUUUAGUUUCUACUCUUCCCUUAUGUUUUCUUUUUUUCCAACUACUAUGAGAAAGGACUUUCUAAAGUACUAAAAUUCAGUUUCUCCUUCGAGUGACACUUGUCAUCUGGAUCCAUCCGAAAGUUGGUGACACACUGCAGCUGCCAACACCCACCUAGCCUACCCGAUCACAAUGCCGGAGCGAAAGCCAAUUAAAGUUUAAAUUGAACAUAGGAAAAGAGAAAGGACUGCUUUACUUGAAAACCCAUUAAAUUCUCAAUGGCCAGAAAACUAAAAAUAUCACCUCCGGAUUGCUCCUAAGAGGAUUUGAACAUAUCUAGAUAGAAGUCAUUACCCACAAGGUGUUCAACUUGAAAGCAG
rnacentral:lncRNA from 1 species